CGAGAUAAAGCUUUAUAAAGCACCCCACUUACAAUGGGAAGAUACCAUUUUAGGUUGUUUCGA
rnacentral:tRNA from 1 species